AGAGUUUGAUCCUGGCUCAGAGCGAACGCUGGCGGCAGGCCUAACACAUGCAAGUCGAGCGCCCCGCAAGGGGAGCGGCAGACGGGAGAGUAACACGUGGGAACGUACCCUUCAGUUCGGAACAACCCAGGGAAACUUGGGCUAAUACCGAAUACGUCCGUAAGGAGAAAGAUUUAUCGCUGAAGGAUCGGCCCGCGUCUGAUUAGCUAGUUGGUGAGGUAACGGCUCACCAAGGCGACGAUCAGUAGCUGGUCUGAGAGGAUGAUCAGCCUCACUGGGACUGAGACACGGCCCAGACUCCUACGGGAGGCAGCAGUGGGGAAUAUUGGACAAUGGGCGCAAGCCUGAUCCAGCCAUGCCGCGUGGGUGAUGAAGGCC
rnacentral:rRNA from 1 species